UCACUCUAGCAGACGAAGAACAUCUUGAAUCCACAAAAAACAAAGAAUUCUCAAAGAGGAUUUGAAUUAUAUUGAAUAGAAGUUGAUUUGCCCUAAAUCAUAUAUCCUUAUAUAAAAUGAACGAAGUCCUAACUAGACAAGAAAACAAGGAACACAAAAAUAAAUAGAAAAUUUCCAAAAAUAAAAGAAAAUUGAGUUAAACCCAAAUCUGAAUACCAAGAAACAAUAGAAACGUACCAAAAUAGACGACGCUAAAAAUGGACAUCUCAAAAUAAAGCUAUUGCUAAAACGAAGCUUUCCUAAAACAGAAAAAUCACUAAUUUGAGAGCUUAAGUGAAGGAAUUUGGCUAAAAUCCACCAUACAUUAUCCCCAAAGUGGUGAUGACUUUGAUUUAAAAGCUAUUUCCAUUUAGAAUACCAAAUUUGAGAUAAUUCCAAAUUCGUUACAAAAGUGUCACUAUUAUCCUCAAUUUGACUCUUCCUUACCCUUUGUUGAUCCAAUUGUUCAAAGAGUUCAUCAUCUACUUGUUCUACAUCACAAACCCAUCUCAAAAAUUGGACAACUAGAAUUAAGUAUAUAGGGAGAGAAGGAAACAAAUUGGGGUGUGAAAACUUGGGAACACAAGCAUAGAUCUUUUAUGCCAUAUAUGCUCUGAUUUUAGAUUUGGAAGGUUGUGUCUGUUUAUUGCAGUCACUGUCUGGGAUCAGAUGCAGGAAGAACAGAAGGGAACUUUUGGGCCUGAACAAUGGCUCAACAGCGGACAAUAAAUCAAAGAGAGCCAACCAUGGAAACAACAAUUGGGGGAUUUGUUGAAGAGAAAGUUAUUGACGCUUGGGAGAGAGGUGGUGUUGCAAAGAUUGACGUUGGCAGAGGAAGCUUGGAAGCUUGGAGAAGAUGCCAUAGUCGUUGUGGGUUUCAUGAGACCGGAAAAAAAAGAAAAAAAAAAAUACACAACGUCAUUUAUUGUGUGCAUUACAGAGAAUGAACUAUAGGAAAUCCAAACUCAUGAUGUAAAUUCAAUUGUUACAUUGUCAGAUCCACACAUAAAAUAAAUUUUAAUUGCAUA